rnacentral:rRNA from 1 species
GGGACAACAGCCAGAAAUGGCUGCUAAUACCGCAUAAGCCUGCUGUGCCGCAUGGCACAGCAGGGAAAACCACGGUGGUACAGGAUGGGCCCGCGUCUGACUAGUUAGUUGGCAGGGUAACGGCCUACCAAGACAACGAUCAGUAGCCGGCUUGAGAGAGUGGACGGCCACAUUGGGACUGAGACACGGCCCAGACUCCUGCGGGAGGCAGCAGUGGGGAAUAUUGCACAAUGGGGGGAACCCUGAUGCAGCAAUGCCGCGUGGGUGAAGAAGCACCCCGGUGCGUAAAGCCCUGUCAGCAGGGAAGAAAAUGACAGUACCUGGACAAGAAGCCCCGGCUAACUACGUGCCAGCAGCCGCGGUAAUACGUAGGGGGCAAGCGUUAUCCGGAUUUACUGGGUGUAAAGGGAGCGCAGGCGGCGUGGCGAGUCAGAUGUGAAAACCCGGGGCCCAACCCCGGGAGUGCAUUUGAAACUGCCAUGCUGGAGUGCCGGAGAGGUAAGCGGAAUUCCUAGUGUAGCGGUGAAAUGCGUAGAUAUUAGGAGGAACACCAGUGGCGGAGGCGGCUUACUGGACGGUAACUGACGCUGAGGCUCGAAAGCGUGGGGAGCAAACAGGAUUAGAUACCCUGGUAGUCCACGCCGUAAACGAUGCAUAAUAGGUACAGG